CCUACGGGGGGCAGCAGUGGGGAAUAUUGGACAAUGGGCGAAAGCCUGAUCCAGCCAUACCGCGUGUGUGAAGAAGGCCUUCGGGUUGUAAAGCACUUUCAGUGGGGAAGAAAGCCUUGGGGCUAAUACCCUCGAGGAAGGACAUCACCCACAGAAGAAGCACCGGCUAACUCCGUGCCAGCAGCCGCGGUAAUACGGAGGGUGCGAGCGUUAAUCGGAAUUACUGGGCGUAAAGCGCGCGUAGGCGGUCUGAUAAGCCGGUUGUGAAAGCCCCGGGCUCAACCUGGGAACGGCAUCCGGAACUGUCAGGCUAGAGUGCAGGAGAGGAAGGUAGAAUUCCCGGUGUAGCGGUGAAAUGCGUAGAGAUCGGGAGGAAUACCAGUGGCGAAGGCGGCCUUCUGGACUGACACUGACGCUGAGGUGCGAAAGCGUGGGUAGCAAACAGGAUUAGAUACCCGAGUAGUC
rnacentral:rRNA from 1 species